AAAAGAAAUAUACCGUGUAGGUGGUAGUGCUAAAAGUGACUUACCUGAAAGGUGAUUUUAAAAAGGAAAGUCCUCUACAAGUCUCACUCAGUCUAAAGGGAGUUGAAUCAUCUAAGAUGAAAAAUUCGCACCAUACAUCGUUCCUUAUAUAAAGAUAAGCUAAAAUAUUGAUCCCUGAAGCUCUUGCCUGGGGUGGUCAGAGCAAAACAUUUCUCAUCACCUCAGACCUAGAGUGGCUUCAUGGAGCCUUCCCAGUGGUCCUGACCAAAGAAAUGUAAUUUUUUUUAGGCAUGCUUUUUUUGCUGAGGAAGAUUGGCCCUGAGUGAACAUCUGUUGCCAAUCUUCCUCUUUUUUUUUUCUCCCCAAAGCCCCCAGUUGUAUAUCCUGGUUGCAAGUCAUUCUAGUUCUUCUAUGUGGGAUGCCGCCACAGCAUGGCCCAACAAGCAGUGCCAGGUCCAUGCCCAGGAUCUGAACCAGUGAACCCCAGGCCGCUGAAGCGGAGUGCAUGGACUUAACCACUCAGCCAGGGGGCUGGCCCCAAAGAGUUCUUCAAAGAAAGCAGGUCUUCAAAUGGUUAGUGAAGGAAGAAAUGAGAUCAUCCGGAAUGAGACUUAUUCCUCGUGAAUCCUCCACUGAAUAAAUAUGAACGAGUCUUCACUCUGCGCUUGGUACCGGUAUCGUUGUUGGGUUCAGUGAGUUGAAAAGCACAUCUCCAACUCUGAGAGCAUGCGGCCUUCUCUGGGAACUCACAGGGAAAUAACCGUGAUAACGCAAUCAGUGCUGACAGCCACUGGUACAAAGUGUUUCUGGAGCACAGAGUAGCUCAGAAGGACGUGAGCCAAGUGAUGGAGAAUAGGAGCAUUCUCUGGCUUCUUCCUUUUAAGUACCAGGUUACAGUGAGGCCCCCCUUUGACCAGCCACGGUAACAAAUGAGGAACAGAAUGCUACAGAUGAGACGACAGAAUGAGAGGCACAUUUUUGGUCAGGAUUCCCCUAACACAGUAUUAUUUAUCUAGGAAUUUGAGUAACCUCAGAAGCGCCAGUUUCUAGAACGUUAUUUUUUUGUGAAUACUUUCAACUAAUAGUUUUAGAUUUUCAGGACUUGAUUGAGGAUUGGAAAGCUUUCUGGCAAAGCGUGUUGUGGAUAACACUCACCUGGAGCAGCCAACCUGCUCCACAAAUUGUUAAAUUAUGGUCUUUAAUUCAGAGAGGCAUUCGUCAUGGGAAGUUAUGAUCAAGAUUUUUGGCAACUUCAAAUCGAACUGUCCCUCUGCAAAGUGAUCAGAUGUUCUAUGGUUGAGCCAGUCUUCCUAGGAAGAAUUCCAACAAAGAAUUCUGAGGAACCAAACAAUAGCCAAGAAAGUGAAUUGUACGCUCUUUUCCAGCACCGAGCACUGGGCUCUCCUUCCUCUGCUGGGCCACUCAAGUUUCCCGUAAAUAAAGACAAGUUAAAAUUCCCUCCUUUAGCUUCUUCUCCUCUCCCUCUUUUUGUCUUUCUCAUUCUAACAAACCCGGAGGAUAUUUUACUGGAAAUAUCGCUCUAUCUUGAAAUUUCUCAUGAGAAAACCAGGAAGUGGAUUACAAACCCAUCACCGCCAAAUGGGUCUUCAUGUUUACCUUGAAUGACCAGAUAACCAUGGAUGAAAUGAUAAACCUCAGCAAUCUGUUUCCCAGCUUCUCCCUUUCACGUUCUGGAGAUCUGGCCUUGUAUGACAAAGCUGUUUUUAGAUUUCUAAGCUACGUGAUUACAAGUGUUAGCUGCUUGAUCUUUCCUUGGAAGAUGAGUAAAUUCGGACCAAGACGUUUUAUGUAUUUUCUAAACUGUUUGUUUCUUCGUCAAGGAUCCUUCUGGUGUAUUCGAACCUCCAGUACUUGACAAGACAUGUUGUUAGUAUUACUGGUCAAAAGGGCAGAUUUAAGAAGCCUUUUCUUCUUCAAAAACCAUGAGGAGAUUUAGAGAAAAGUAAUCACUCUUCUUUCUCACAGAGUGACGUUUUGAAGUUGCUUCUAGACAAUAACUUCUUAAGAGUGUUGUGGUCUACGAGACUUGAAACCGAAAUGUUAAGUUUAGGAAAGAGGCUGAAGCAGCAACGUUCUUUCCCGUAAUACGUGAGAAGCCGAAGGCAGCUGUCGAAGAAGGAAAACAGGCCAACUGCACAGAGAGAGUUAGUGACUUGCCCAACGUCACACAGACUAUAAGUGGUAGGGCAGGCGUUCAUGCUCAAGUCCUCCUGACCCCAAUGUCUAGGCCCGUGGCCACAAGGGUCGUAAUUGCAAGGAUUCAUUCAUUCAUUCAUUCAGCUUCGCGGGCAGCAACUGGACAGCAACCCUUGAGAUUCUCGAGACUGGGAAUCGAUGUUUGAUUUCUGUAUGUCUUGUGCCUUCACAAUGUGGCACCUCAAUAGCCGUUCGUUUCAAUAAACUCUUUAAGGGCCUAAAAGGCAGGAUGGGA
rnacentral:lncRNA from 1 species